GCCUCCGUAGCUCAGGGGAUAGAGCACCGCUCUCCUAAAGCGGGUGUCGCAGGUUCGAAUCCUGCCGGGGGCG
rfam:Actinomadura sp. CNT-125 NODE_39_length_54536_cov_99.2536_ID_8697, whole genome shotgun sequence.